rnacentral:rRNA from 1 species
GUACACGAGCGGCGAACGGGUGAGUAACACGUGAGCAAUCUGCCCAUCACAUCGGGAUAACUCCGGGAAACCGAAGCUAAUACCGAAUACGACCACCUCCGGCAUCGGAUGGUGGUGGAAAGUUCCGGCGGUGAUGGAUGAGCUCGCGGCCUAUCAGCUUGUUGGUGGGGUAAUGGCCUACCAAGGCUUCGACGGGUAGCCGGCCUGAGAGGGUGACCGGCCACACUGGGACUGAGACACGGCCCAGACUCCUACGGGAGGCAGCAGUGGGGAAUAUUGGACAAUGGGCGAAAGCCUGAUCCAGCAACGCCGCGUGAGGGAUGACGGCCUUCGGGUUGUAAACCUCUUUCAGCAGGGACGAAGCGCAAGUGACGGUACCUGCAGAAGAAGCACCGGCCAACUACGUGCCAGCAGCCGCGGUAAUACGUAGGGUGCGAGCGUUGUCCGGAAUUAUUGGGCGUAAAGGGCUCGUAGGCGGUCUGUCGCGUCGGGAGUGAAAACUCAGGGCUUAACCCUGAGCCUGCUUCCGAUACGGGCAGACUAGAGGUAUGCAGGGGAGAACGGAAUUCCUGGUGUAGCGGUGAAAUGCGCAGAUAUCAGGAGGAACACCGGUGGCGAAGGCGGUUCUCUGGGCAUUACCUGACGCUGAGGAGCGAAAGUGUGGGGAGCGAACAGGAUUAGAUACCCUGGUAGUCCACACCGUAAACGUUGGGCGCU